rnacentral:misc_RNA from 1 species
CACGAAGAAAGUUGUUGAUCGGUCAUCUUCAGGUGACCAUCGGUUGUUAUUUAUUUUACAGCCGACCAUUGCUACAAGUAAGAGUCCAUCUGCACACCUAACGCAGAAGUAUCUUAAGAUCUAUCAUCUGGCAAGGUAGAACUUUGACAUGGCUUCUACAUCAGAACUUGUGAAAAAGUUGAAUCUUCAACCCCACCCAGAAGGUGGAUUCUUCUGUGAAACCUUUAGAGAUGCAUCUGUCAGUCUUUCCACUUCUCAACUUCCCUCUAGAUAUAAGGUUGAUCGCCCAGUCAGCACGGCUAUCUACUUUUUACUACCAUCUGGGAGUGUUUCACAUCUUCAUCGAAUCCCAUGUGCAGAAACCUGGCAUUUUUAUUUGGGAGAACCUAUUACGGUAUUGGAAUUGAAUGAGACAGACGGGCAGGUCAAACUAACAUGCCUAGGGUCUGAUCUAACUGGAGACAACCAGCAACCACAGUACACUGUGCCUCCAAAUGUCUGGUUUGGUGCAUUUCCAACGAAGGACUACAUCAUUUCGCCAGAUGGGGCAGUUGCCAAUGCUGCACCGAGGGAGACCAAGAGCCACUUCUCUCUAGUAGGCUGCACUUGUGCCCCUGCAUUUCAGUUUCAGGAUUUUGAACUGGCAAAACGAUCUGAGCUCAUUUCACGGUUUCCCAGUCAUGAGCAUCUCAUCUCUUUGCUCACGUAUCCUGAUUGAAGAUAAGCCCUUAGUCCUUAUUGUAGAGUAUACAUCUGAAGGAAAA